GACAGAGGGUGCAAACGUUGUUCGGAAUUACUGGGCGUAAAGCGCGUGUAGGCUGCUCGGAAAGUCGGAUGUGAAAGCCCCGGGCUCAACCCGGGAAGUGCACUCGAUACUGCGAAGCUUGAGUACUGGAGAGGUUGGUGGAAUUCUCGGUGUAGAGGUGAAAUUCGUAGAUAUCGAGAGGAACACCGGUGGCGAAGGCGGCCAACUGGACAGAUACUGACGCUGAGACACGAAAGCGUGGGGAGCAAACAGG
rnacentral:rRNA from 1 species